GGGCCCGCACAAGCGGUGGAGCAUGUGGUUUAAUUCGAAGCAACGCGAAGAACCUUACCAGGUCUUGACAUCCUUUGACCACCCUAGAGAUAGGGCUUUCCCUUCGGGGACAAAGUGACAGGUGGUGCAUGGUUGUCGUCAGCUCGUGUCGUGAGAUGUUGGGUUAAGUCCCGCAACGAGCGCAACCCUUAUUGUUAGUUGCCAUCAUUUAGUUGGGCACUCUAGCGAGACUGCCGGUGAUAAACCGGAGGAAGGUGGGGAUGACGUCAAAUCAUCAUGCCCCUUAUGACCUGGGCUACACACGUGCUACAAUGGGAAGUACAACGAGUCGCAAAGUCGCGAGGCUAAGCUAAUCUCUUAAAGCUUCUCUCAGUUCGGAUUGUAGGCUGCAACUCGCCUACAUGAAGCCGGAAUCGCUAGUAAUCGCGGAUCAGCACGCCGCGGUGAAUACG
rnacentral:rRNA from 1 species